rnacentral:lncRNA from 1 species
GAUCUUUUGAACAACAGAGGAAAAUUUAUAUAAAAAAAAUGUAUUAAUUUUAAGGGCUAUUCCAGUAAAAAUUAUCCAGGGGGGGGUGGAACGCCACUUAUUUUUUGACCCCCCACCUAUGGAAAAGAUUAAAAAAAUACACCCCCACCUAGAACAUGUAUUUUCUUCCAAGACCCCCUACCUAGAGAAAAAAAAUAAAAGUUAGCUAGUUUUUUAAAGUAUACAAAAAUGUUGCAUCCUGUCAAAUAAAUGUAAAAUUUGUUGGUUUAUCUAUUUCAGUGCAUCCAAAAAGGGGGGGCCCUGGCCCCCCCCCCCUAAAUCCGCCUCUGGUCUCAAUGGCAAUCAUACCACAUCUUCUUUUUUAUACUAGCUAUGUUGCUAUUAAAAUAUAAAAUGAAACAUGUAACAAUGUUAUGGAGCAGCAGACGACAGAUGCAACAUGACGGCAAUAGCUCACAGUGACCGAAAAAGGGGGGUGCGAUUUUAAUUAUGGCCCAUUUUAUUUUUAAAACUGUCAAUAACAUUUUCAGGUACGACAUAUUCUUCAGGUGGGGAAACUGGUUGGCACCAACCAUUUGAUGUUUCAGAGUUUAGUUUGAGCCAUAAAAUAUUUUUGGUAGGCACAAUGUAAUUCUUUUUUUAUUUUUUGUAUUUCUUAUAUACAUUUUUUUUUUCAAUAGGCAAAUGUUGAGGAAGAUGAUAUACUCUCCUGUGUAACAAGGCCAUAUUUUUCCGCAAAAAUUAGGCCAUUUUUUUCCUUCAAUACCACCCACGCAACAUGCGCAAUAAAAAUCUAAUUGUCUGUGCCAAAUAUAAAUAUUUUUUUAUGGACCGCAUAGUUUGGAUGUCACCCACACAUAUUUUUUUGUGGGGAGACGGUAUACAAGGGAGAGGGUACUUGAAGUUGUUAUAAACUGUAUGCAAUAAAAUAUUAUUUGGGACAAAAAUUGCAAAGAAUUGGCCAGUCCACCUUAUUAAGGACAUAUUCUUUGCAAGGAAAGAGAUUUAAGUACAGCAAAUUCUGCCAUUUCAAUUUCAAUGAAUAUACAAUAACUUCUUCCAACCGCAACAAUAUUUAAGUUAACCUUUAUUUACAAUGUUUAAACUGGUACUGUUGCCUUGUUCAUGUUCAUGUUGGUUUUUUUUACAUUAAAUUUGGGUCUUCGUCGAUACCAUACUUAUUCCAGACGUUCCGUAUCAGAGGACAUUUCAGGCAAUUCCUCUGCACUUCUUGUAUCAUUAUAUCUUCAUCACGGGUGACAAGAAUAACAGUAUAGAGUACCAUUAAUUCAUAGAACAAAACAACAAAUCGCUGAAGAAGUCAUGUUUACAAAAUGUCAAAAUGAGCCAAAGACCAAAAAAUGACAAGGACAGUUAAGCGUCUUUUAUGGAGACAAAAACUAUAUUCCUAAAAAGUCUUUGGGGUUCUUCAAUCGAAAUAAUAGCAAGCUAAACUAAAUGAGAUUAUUAUAAGGGCUAAAUCUCGUCUGUACUAGCCAAAUUUAACAAAUUUAAAGUUGUUUAUAAAAAAAAAUAUAUAUCAUGAAUGAUGGUUAAUUACGUUUUUCGGGUUAUCAGUUAGACCGCAUGGUUUUAUUAUUACAAUAGGAAAAC